CGGCUACACAUGCAGUCGAGGGGCAUCAGAGUGUAGUAAUAUACUGCUGGCGACCGGCGCACGGGUGAGUAACGCGUAUGCAACCUGCCUACUACAGGGGGAUAGCCCUAAGAAAUUGGGAUUAAUACCGCAUAAAACAGGGGAACCGCAUGGUUUAUUUGUUAAAUGAUGAGAAUUGGUAGUAGAUGGGCAUGCGUUCCAUUAGCUGGUUGGAGAGGUAACGGCUCACCAAGGCAACGAUGGAUAGGGGCACUGAGAGGUUUGUCCCCCACACUGGGACUGAGACACGGCCCAGACUCCUACGGGAGGCAGCAGUGAGGAAUAUUGGUCAAUGGGCGAGAGCCUGAACCAGCCAAGUCGCGUGAAGGAAGACGGUUCUAUGGAUUGUAAACUUCUUUUUCAUGGGAGUAAAGUACGCUACGAGUGGCGUUUAGCAAGUACCAUGAGAAUAAGCAUCGGCUAACUCCGUGCCAGCAGCCGCGGUAAUACGGAGGAUGCGAGCGUUAUCCGGAUUUAUUGGGUUUAAAGGGUGCGUAGGCGGGGACCUAAGUCAGCGGUGAAAUGCACAGGCUCAACCUGUGAACUGCCGUUGAAACUGGGUUUCUUGAGAAUAGAUGAAGCAGGCGGAAUUAGUGGUGUAGCGGUGAAAUGCAUAGAUAUCACUAGGAACUCCGAAAGCGCAGGCAGCUUGCUAAGCUAUGACUGACGCUGAAGCACGAAAGUGUGGUUAUCGAACAGGAUUAGAUACCCUGGUAGUCCACACAGUAAACGAUGAUUACUAGUUGUUAGCGAUAUACCGUUAGUAACCAAGCGAAAGCGAUAAGUAAUCCACCUGGGGAGUACGCCGGCAACGGUGAAACUCAAAGGAAUUGACGGGGGCCCGCACAAGCGGAGGAACAUGUGGUUUAAUUCGAUGAUACGCGAGGAACCUUACCCGGGCUUGAAAUGCUUCUGAUGGGAGUGGAAACAUUCUUUCUAGCAAUAGCAGAAGUGUAGGUGCUGCAUGGUUGUCGUCAGCUCGUGCCGUGAGGUGUCGGCUUAAGUGCCAUAACGAGCGCAACCCACGUCGGAAGUUACUAACAGGUAAUGCUGAGGACUCUGCCGAGACUGCCAGCGUAAGCUGUGAGGAAGGUGUGGAUGACGUCAAAUCAGCACGGCCCUUACGUCCGGGGCGACACACGUGUUACAAUGGCCGGUACAGCGGGUAGCCAUCAGGCAACUGAGCGCCAAUCCUGAAAACCGGUCCCAGUUCGGAUUGGAGUCUGCAACUCGACUCCAUGAAGCUGGAUUCGCUAGUAAUCGCGCAUCAGCCAUGGCGCGGUGAAUACGUUCCCGGGCCUUGUACACACCGCCCGUCAAGCCAUGGGAGCUGGGGGUACCUGAAAUACGUAACCGCAAGGAGCGUCCAAGGG
rnacentral:rRNA from 1 species